rnacentral:rRNA from 1 species
GUACACUCCUGCGGGAGGCAGCAGUGGGGAAUUUUACGCAAUGGGGGAAACCCUGACGUAGCGACACCGCGUGAGCGAAGAAGCCCUUUGGGGUGUAAAGCUCUGUCAGCUGGAACGAAAACAAUGACGGUACCAGCAGAGGAAGCAUCGGCUAACUACGUGCCAGCAGCCGCGGUAAGACGUAGGAUGCGAGCGUUGUCCGGAUUUAUUGGGCGUAAAGAGUUCGUAGGUGGUUUGUUAAGUUUGGUGUUAAAGAUCGGGGCUCAACCCUGGGACUGCACUGAAUACUGGCAGACUCGAGUGUGGUAGAGGCUAGUGGAAUUCCCAGUGUAGCGGUGAAAUGCGUAGAUAUUGGGAAGAACACCGGUGGCGUAGGCGACUAGCUGGGCCAUAACUGACGCUGAGGAACGAAAGCCAGGGGAGCGAAUGGGAUUAGAAACCCGUGUAGUCCCAUG